UACGGGGGGGGCAAGCGUUGUUCGGAAUUACUGGGCGUAAAGGGCUCGUAGGCGGCCAACUAAGUCAGACGUGAAAUCCCCAGGCUCAACCUGGGAACUGCGUCUGAUACUGGAUGGCUUGAAUUCGGGAGAGGGAUGCAGAAUUCCAGGUGUAGCGGUGAAAUGCGUAGAUAUCUGGAGGAAUACCGGUGGCGAAGGCGGCAUCCUGGACCGACAUUGACGCUGAGGAGCGAAAGCUAGGGGAGCGAACGGG
rnacentral:rRNA from 1 species